rnacentral:rRNA from 1 species
UACGGAGGGUGCGAGCGUUGUCCGGAAUCACUGGGCGUAAAGAGCGUGUAGGCGGCCAAACAGGUCCGUUGUGAAAACUGGAGGCUCAACCUCCAGACGUCGACGGAAACCGUGUGGCUAGAGUCCGGAAGAGGAGAGUGGAAUUCCUGGUGUAGCGGUGAAAUGCGCAGAUAUCAGGAGGAACACCGAUAGCGAAGGCAGCUCGCUGGGACGUUACUGACACUGAGGCGCGAAAGCGUGGGGAGCGAACAGG